CAAACAAGUCCUUUUAAUUUUUGAAUCGUUUCAAACAAAUCCUUUUAAAGGAUGAUGGUGGUGAUUCAAAUGUUAGCAACAAAGAGCAUUAUCC
rfam:Medicago truncatula strain A17 chromosome 5, whole genome shotgun sequence.